rnacentral:rRNA from 1 species
CCUACGGGUGGCAGCAGUGGGGAAUAUUGGGCAAUGGGCGCAAGCCUGACCCAGCAACGCCGCGUGAAGGAAGAAGGCUUUCGGGUUGUAAACUUCUUUUAAGGGGGAAGAGCAGAAGACGGUACCCCUUGAAUAAGCCACGGCUAACUACGUGCCAGCAGCCGCGGUAAUACGUAGGUGGCGAGCGUUAUUCGGAUUUAUUGGGUUUAAAGGGUGCGUAGGCGGACUGGAAAGUCAGCGGUAAAAUCGAGAGGCUCAAACUCUUUCCGCCGUUGAAACUGUCGGUCUUGAGUGGGCGAGAAGUAUGCGGAAUGCGUGGUGUAGCGGUGAAAUGCAUAGAUAUCACGCAGAACUCCGAUUGCGAAGGCAGCAUACCGGCGCCCGACUGACGCUGAGGCACGAAAGCGUGGGUAUCGAACAGGAUUAGAUACCCGAGUAGUC